rnacentral:rRNA from 1 species
UACGUAGGUGGCAAGCGUUGUCCGGAUUUAUUGGGCGUAAAGAGCGCGCAGGCGGUCGAUUUAGUCGCGUGUGAAAGCCCCCGGCUCAACUGGGGAGGGUCACGCGAUACUGAUCGACUCGAAGGCAGGAGAGGGUAGUGGAAUUCCCGGUGUAGUGGUGAAAUGCGUAGAUAUCGGGAGGAACACCAGUGGCGAAGGCGACUACCUGGCCUGUUCUUGACGCUGAGGCGCGAAAGCUAGGGGAGCAAACGGG